rnacentral:rRNA from 1 species
AACCCACGAUAUACCUUACCCGCCUUUGCCAAACCAGCCUAUAUACCUCCGUCGCCAGUCCGCCUGUCAACAGCCACCAAAGCGCGUACAACAGUUUUUAACUAACACGACAGGUCAAGGUGUAGCUAAUAGGCCGGCAAGUGGUGGGCUACAUUUUCUUUACAAGAAAGCACCAACGGGCCAUGAAAACCGCACAAAAAGUCGGAUUUAGCAGUAAGGUGGGCCAGCAAGCCCAUCUGAAG